rnacentral:rRNA from 1 species
UACGUAGGGGGCUAGCGUUGUCCGGAAUCAUUGGGCGUAAAGGGUGCGUAGGCGGCGCGGUAAGUCGGGUGUGAAAUCUCGGAGCUUAACUCCGAAACUGCAUUCGAUACUGCCGUGCUUGAGGACUGGAAAGGAGAGUGGAAUUCCCGGUGUAGCGGUGAAAUGCGCAGAUAUCGGGAAGAACACCCGUGGCGAAGGCGGCUCUCUGGGACGGUACUGACGCUGAGACGCGAAAGCGUGGGGAGCGAACAGG